rnacentral:rRNA from 1 species
UACGUAGGGGGCUAGCGUUGUCCGGAAUCAUUGGGCGUAAAGAGCGUGUAGGCGGCUCGGUAAGUCCGCUGUAAAAGUCCAGGGCUCAACCCUGGAAAGCCGGUGGAAACUGUCGGGCUAGAGUCCGGAAGAGGCGAGUGGAAUUCCUGGUGUAGCGGUGAAAUGCGCAGAUAUCAGGAGGAACACCAAUGGCGAAGGCAGCUCGCUGGGACGGUACUGACGCUGAGGUGCGAAAGCGUGGGGAGCAAACAGG